GACGAACGCUGGCGGCGUGCUUAACACAUGCAAGUCGAACGGAAAGGCCCUGCUUUUGUGGGGUGCUCGAGUGGCGAACGGGUGAGUAACACGUGAGUAACCUGCCCUUGACUUUGGGAUAACUUCAGGAAACUGGGGCUAAUACCGGAUAGGAGCUCCUGCUGCAUGGUGGGGGUUGGAAAGUUUCGGCGGUUGGGGAUGGACUCGCGGCUUAUCAGCUUGUUGGUGGGGUAGUGGCUUACCAAGGCUUUGACGGGUAGCCGGCCUGAGAGGGUGACCGGGCACAUUGGGACUGAGAUACGGCCCAGACUCCUACGGGAGGCAGCAGUGGGGAAUAUUGCACAAUGGGCGGAAGCCUGAUGCAGCAACGCCGCGUGCGGGAUGACGGCCUUUGGGUUGUAAACCGCUUUCGCCUGUGACGAAGCGUGAGUGACGGUAAUGGGUAAAGAAGCACCGGCUAACUACGUG
rnacentral:rRNA from 1 species